AAAGCAGGGGAAUGCCCUAGAUAACAGUGGUCAAAACCUCCAGGUAAACCACAGAUGGUGAUCUGUGUUCAGCUGGUGGUGCGUGAUGGAGCUGGGAGAAAAGGGAGGGAAAAGGAGCAGGGAAGGAAUUGCGGGAGAUACACAGCAACCCUGCUGGGGGCUGACACACCAGGGCUCAGCACUUCCAGCUGCUUUGCUGCAAUGCCUCCCCACGAGCCCACCCCGGCGGGUCCCCAGCAGGAGGCCAAUCCUGGGAACAGAGGACUGCAAGUCGGUGCCGCCGCUGCCGGUUAUCUGCCCAGCCCUGGCAUCCCGCCUCGAGAGCCCCUCCUGGGCUGCGUUGGCUGAGCAAACCCGAGAGCGGGGCAACGGUCAGAGCGACAGAAAUGACUCGCUGGGGGAGAAGUGCAGCGAGAUGGGCUCCAGGAGAGAUGAGUCACUGCCGAGCUGCACUCCAGAAACAGCUCACAGAGCCAGCUGCUGCUGUUCAGAAGAUGAACUUACUGGGCUCUGCAGGCUGGCAACAGGGGCGCGGUAGAUGAGCUUGGCUUCAGCUAUUUCAGCGCACGCAGAAGGUGGAUCCAUUUGUGCCUGGGAAGAAUGGGAAGCCGGGCAUGCAGAAGCUGUCCUGAAGCUCUGGUGGUCAGCCCGGGCAGCUCCAACGCAGGCAGCGCUCCUUAUACCGCACUUACUCGUCUGUUAAUCAUUAAACACUGAUUAGAAAAGGC
rnacentral:lncRNA from 7 species